CUUGUCAGAGGCUGGGUCGUAGCACUUCCUGGCAUUCCCCCAGUUCCGUCCCGGCGUGGUGGUAGAGGCCAUUGGGGGUGCGCUAUGCUCCACUGAUUACUCGCUGCGGGUUGUUUCUGUGCGGCGUCUAUUCCUCUCCUCCAAGCUGUGUCGUCCAGGACUGCCUGAUUGGGGGAAGUAUAACCCAGCUGCUGCGCAGUGUCGGCCGAUCAGCGAGGGAAACCACUGCUGCUUUGCCUCGUACCGGAGAUUGUUUGGCUGCAACCGCGGCUAACGGCUUUGCCUCGUACCGGAGAUUGUUUGGCUGCAACCGCGGCUAACGGCUUUGCC